CUGCUUUUUACAAGAAUCUUUUUCAAAUUUUUUGCCCCUCUAUAGAUGAUAUGGGGUUGUGCGGGGAGAAUUUUUCCUAAAACUGGGUAACACAUGCCAAUAUUUCUUUAUAACUUUUCUGAUGUUUUUAUGAUUCCCAUUAUAAUUACAAAUAAGUGGUACUCUGUUGUCGGUUUGAGGGAGAGUCUUUUUAGGUUUAUAGGUGAGUAGUUUUUUUCAUGAUAGAAUCCUUGUAUUUUCCAUUGUUUCAGCUAAAUUUUUCGCCUGGUACCCUUUCUCUAAAAAGUGUUGUUUUAUUCGUGUGGCUUGUUGGAUGUAGUCAUCAUCUUUAGUGCAAUUAUGUCUAAUUCGCAUAAAUUGGCCUUUUGGGGCAUUAUGUAACCAUGGUUUAUGAUGACAACUGUUACUCUCGAUGUAUCCGUUUGCAUCGACUGUUUUGAAA